rnacentral:rRNA from 1 species
CACCGGCUCUUCAAAUGGUGGCCAUUUUUAUUGGGCUUAAAGCGUUCGUAGCUGGAUUUGUAAGUCCCUAGCGAAAUUCUGUCGCUUAACGAUAGAGCUUGCCGGGGAUACUGCUUAUCUUGAGACCGGGAGAGGCUAGAGGUACUCCUAGGGUAGGGGUGAAAUCCGUUAAUCCUAGGGGGACCACCUGUGGUGAAGACGUCUAGCUGGAACGGGUCUGACAGUGAGGGACGAAACCCAGGGGAGCAAACCGGAUUAGAUACCCCCGUA